rnacentral:sRNA from 1 species
GUCACGCCCGAAGUCGUUACCUCAACCGCAAGGAGGGGGAUGCCUAAGGCAGGGCCAGUGACUGGGGCGAAGUCGUAACAAGGUAGCCGUACCGGAAGGUGUGGCUGGAUCACCUCCUUAAAGGGAGACCUAAUUCCGGUAGGAGACGAAAAAAAAGUAGUCGCUACCAAGAAUCAAUCCCAAAAGGUCGGAGCGAGGCAAAAUUGGCUUUCAAGCUAGGUUCUGGGUUCACACAAGACCUGAAUCAGGAACAAGGGCUAUUAGCUCAGGUGGUUAGAGCGCACCCCUGAUAAGGGUGAGGUCCCUGGUUCGAGUCCAGGAUGGCCCACCUGUACAGGUGGCAAAAACAAGAGAAGCGAGGAAUCAGCACCUUAUCUUACUGACAUAGUAAGAGAGAAUGCUGGCUCUGAGUAAAGAGUCCAGAGGAACCUUGAAAACUGCAUAGAGCUAGGUGAAAAAGCCAAAAAAGAAGACCGCAAGGUCAAGCUAAUAAGGGCUAACGGUGGAUACCUAGGCACACAGAGG